rnacentral:rRNA from 1 species
GAUGAACGCUGGCGGCGUGCCUAAUACAUGCAAGUCGAGCGACCAGACGAGGAGCUUGUUCCUCUACCGUUAGCGGCUGACGGGCGAGUAACACGUGCAUAACCUACCUCUUUUACGUGGAUAACUACGGGAAACCGCUUCUACUACUAGAUAAUAUAUUCUACCGCAUGGAUCAAUAGUUAAACACGGUUUUCCUGUUACUUAUAGACGAUUUCGCGCCGGAUUAGCUAGUUGGUAAGGUAACGGCCUACCAAGGCGACGAUGCGUAGCCGACCUGAGAGGGUGAUCGGCCACACUGGAACUGAGACACGGUCCAGACUCCUACGGGAGGCAGCAGUAGGGAAUCUUCCGCAAUGGGCGAAAGCCUGACGGAGCAACGCCGCGUGAGUGAUGAAGGUCUUCGGGUCGUAAAACUCUGUUAUUGGGGAAGAAAAGAAGUGUAAGUAAAUAUGCACGUUUUGACGGUACCUAAACAAAAAGCACCGGCUAACUACGUG